AGCUGAGGGGGAAGAAGCUGAAGCUGCCUCCUGGGCCUCUACCAGUUCCUGUGUUUGGUAACUGGUUGCAAGUUGGGGAUGAUCUUAAUCAUAGGAACCUGGUGGACUAUGCCAAGAAGUUCGGUGAAGUGUUUCUCUUACGUAUGGGACAGAGGAACCUGGUGGUUGUGUCUUCCCCUGACUUGGCUAAAGAUGUGUUGCAUACUCAGGGUGUUGAGUUUGGAUCACGCACUCGUAACGUUGUUUUCGAUAUCUUUACAGGUUUCUUACACAACACUUAAUUUUAUGGUUUUUCUAGUGUGUGAUCACUUUUUAGUUAGGUUGCAGAUUUUAAUUUUAUUAAAGACCUGCGUGUACAAAAAUCUUCACCAAUUAAAAUUUUUCACUUAAGCAGUGAGAAAGAACCUUAAUUUUAUGAAUUUAUGUUUUUUGGUUAUCUGUGAUUAACCUAUGAUAUAAUUCAAUGCUCCUUGUGAAUUUUGUAAUAUGUUUGGUACACAGUGAUUCGGGUUAGAACAAUUUAUAAAUGGGAACAGAGAGAUUGAUUUAUAU
rnacentral:lncRNA from 1 species